UAUACAUGUAUUUCCGAGGAAGUGGUAAAGCCGCGCAGAUGAAGCAAGAAGCUGCUAGAGGUGCCCUUAGAGCAGCAAUAUAAUUGAAAGAAAUGUUCUUGGUAGAAGGCUGUUAAAUAUGCUUUUGGUGAUUAUAUGUUUUAGUUAGUUCAAUUUGACAUAUAUGCUGCUUGUUUUGCAUAUGCUUUUGGUGAUUAUGCUUUUAUUUAUGACUACUUAGACCAAAGUGCUGUUAGGAAAAAGAUUUAG
rnacentral:misc_RNA from 1 species